rnacentral:rRNA from 1 species
AAACCGAAGNCAAUGACCGGAUAAUGCAUAGAAGUUGCAUAGCUUCUAUGUAAAAGUUGGGUUUACCUAACACUACAGGAUGGGCCCGCGUCGCAUUAGCUAGUUGGUAAGGUAACGGCUUACCAAGGCGACGAUGCGUAGCCGACCUGAGAGGGUGAUCGGCCACACUGGGACUGAGACACGGCCCAGACUCCUACGGGAGGCAGCAGUAGGGAAUCCUCCGCAAUGGACGAAAGUCUGACGGAGCAACGCCGCGUGAGCGAUGAAGGCCUUCGGGUCGUAAAGCUCUGUUGUUAGGGAAGAACAAGUGCUAUUCGAAUAGGGUGGCACCUUGACGGUACCUAACGAGAAAGCCACGGCUAACUACGUGCCAGCAGCCGCGGUAAUACGUAGGUGGCAAGCGUUGUCCGGAAUUAUUGGGCGUAAAGCGCGCGCACGCGGUCUCUUUAAGUCUGAUGUGAAAGCCCACACUCAUCGUGGAGGGUCAUUGGAAACCUGGGAGACUU